rnacentral:rRNA from 1 species
CCUACGGGAGGCAGCAGUGGGGAAUAUUGGGCAAUGGGCGCAAGCCUGACCCAGCAACGCCGCGUGAAGGAAGAAGGCUUUCGGGUUGUAAACUUCUUUUCUCAGGGACGAAGCAAGUGACGGUACCUGAGGAAUAAGCCACGGCUAACUACGUGCCAGCAGCCGCGGUAAUACGUAGGUGGCAAGCGUUAUCCGGAUUUACUGGGUGUAAAGGGCGUGUAGGCGGGACAGCAAGUCAGAUGUGAAAACUAUGGGCUCAACCUGUGGCCUGCAUUUGAAACUGUUUUUCUUGAGUACUGGAGAGGCAGACGGAAUUCCUAGUGUAGCGGUGAAAUGCGUAGAGAUUAGGAGGAACACCAGUGGCGAAGGCGAUCUGCUGGACAGCAACUGACGCUGAGGCGCGAAAGCGUGGGGAGCAAACAGGAUUAGAUACCCGAGUAGUC